rnacentral:rRNA from 1 species
UACGUAGGGGGCGAGCGUUGUCCGGAGUUACUGGGCGUAAAGGGCAUGCAGGCGGUCGGACGCGUUUCGGGUGACAGCGGGUGGCUUAACUACCCGAGUGGUCGAAAGACGGUUUGACUUGAGGACGCGAGAGGGACACGGAAUUCCGGGUGGAGUGGUGAAAUGCGUAGAUAUCGGGAAGAACACCAAAGGCGAAAGCACUCUGCUGGGCCGAAACUGACACUGAUAGACGAAAGCUAGGGGAGCAAAUGGG